AGGCCCAGCACAGCACGAAGA
rnacentral:misc_RNA from 1 species